rnacentral:lncRNA from 1 species
GAGCCAAUGUUUUUUUUAUCCACCAUGAAAACAUGCUGCAUCUUCUUCCUCUACUUGGCGAUUCUCCAACACUCUUUCUACUUCUCUGUUUCAUCAUCACCUCUUUUUCUUCCUCUCUCUCACUCUCUCUCAACCUCCAAACACUCUUUAUCUCCUCUCCACCUCCUCAAAUCAUCCUCCUCCCGCUCCUCCGCACGCUUCCGCCGCCACCACAACCACCACCAUAAACACCAAAAACAACUUCCUCUCCCUCUCUCUUCCGGCAGCGAUUACCUCCUCUCCCUCUCCGUCGGCUCCUCCUCCUCCUCCUCCGCCGUCUCCUUCUACUUA